GGGGUUGUGGCUCAGUGGUAGAGCGCUUGCAUAGCACAUGCAAGUUCCUGGGUUCAAUCCUCAGCACCA
rfam:Ictidomys tridecemlineatus contig115204, whole genome shotgun sequence.